rnacentral:rRNA from 1 species
UACAGAGGGUGCAAGCGUUAAUCGGAAUUACUGGGCGUAAAGCGUGCGCAGGCGGUUUCUUAAGUCAGAUGUGAAAUCCCCGAGCUCAACUCGGGAACUGCGUCCGAUACUGGUGGGCUUGAAUCCGGGAGAGGGAUGCGGAAUUCCACGUGUAGCAGUGAAAUGCGUAGAUAUGUGGAGGAACACCGAUGGCGAAGGCAGCCCCCUGGGUUAACACUGACGCUCAUGCACGAAAGCGUGGGGAGCAAACAGG